AGAUUGAACGCUGGCGGCAUGCCUAACACAUGCAAGUCGAACGGCAGCGCGGGGGCAACCCUGGCGGCGAGUGGCGGACGGGUGAGGAAUACAUAGGAAUCUACCCUGUCGUGGGGGAUAACGUAGGGAACUUACGCUAAUACCGCAUACGACCGAGAGGUGAAAGCGGCGGACCGCAAGGCGUCGCGCGGCUGGAUGAGCCUAUGUCCGAUUAGCUAGUUGGCGGGGUAAGAGCCCACCAAGGCGACGAUCGGUAGCUGGUCUGAGAGGAUGGUCAGCCACACUGGGACUGAGACACGGCCCAGACCUCCGUACGGGAGGCAGCGAGGUGGGAAUAUUGGACAAGUGGGCGACAAGCCUGGAUCCAGCAAUGCCGCGUGUGUAGAAGAAGGCCGUUACGGUUAGUAAAGCUUACGUUUUGGUUAGGGAAAGAAAAGUCGUAACGUUAGGGUUAAACUUACCCGUAGGUU
rnacentral:rRNA from 1 species